GAUGAACGCUAGCGGCAGGCCUCAUACAUGCAAGUCGAGGGGCAGCAGGACACUUCGGUGUUGCUGGCGACCGGCGAACGGGUGCGUAACACGUAUGCAAUCUACCUCGUACUGGGGAAUAGCUCUUGGAAACGAGAAUUAAUACCCCAUAUUAUCCUAUCAGCACAUGCUGUUGGGAGGAAAGCCCCGGCGGUACGAGAUGAGCAUGCGUCCCAUUAGCUAGUUGGUAAGGUAACGGCUUACCAAGGCUACGAUGGGUAGGGGUUCUGAGAGGAAGAUCCCCCACACUGGCACUGAGACACGGGCCAGACUCCUACGGGAGGCAGCAGUAGGGAAUAUUGGUCAAUGGGCGCAAGCCUGAACCAGCCAUGCCGCGUGCAGGAUGAAGGCCCUCAGGGUUGUAAACUGCUUUUUUAUGGGAACAAAAAGCCCUUGCGAGGGUCAUUGAGGGUACCGUAAGAAUAAGCACCGGCUAACUCCGUGCCAGCCGCCGCCGUAAUAC
rnacentral:rRNA from 1 species